rnacentral:tRNA from 1 species
AAGCUUGUAGCUUAGUGGUAAGAGCAUGUGCCUGAUAAGCGCAAGGUCAGUAGUUCGAGUCUACUUAAGCUUA